rnacentral:rRNA from 1 species
AAUCUACCCAUCUCUACGGAAUAACUCAGGGAAACUUGUGCUAAUACCGUAUACGCCCUUCGGGGGAAAGAUUUAUCGGAGAUGGAUGAGCCCGCGUUGGAUUAGCUAGUUGGUGGGGUAAAGGCCUACCAAGGCGACGAUCCAUAGCUGGUCUGAGAGGAUGAUCAGCCACAUUGGGACUGAGACACGGCCCAAACUCCUACGGGAGGCAGCAGUGGGGAAUAUUGGACAAUGGGCGCAAGCCUGAUCCAGCCAUGCCGCGUGAGUGAUGAAGGCCUUAGGGUUGUAAAGCUCUUUCACCGGUGAAGAUAAUGACGGUAACCGGAGAAGAAGCCCCGGCUAACUUCGUGCCAGCAGCCGCGGUAAUACGAAGGGGGCUAGCGUUGUUCGGAAUUACUGGGCGUAAAAGCGCACGUAGGCGGAUCGAUCAGUCAGGGGUGAAAUCCCAGAGCUCAACUCUGGAACUGCCUUUGAUACUGUCGAUCUAGAGUAUGGAAGAGGUGAGUGGAAUUCCGAGUGUAGAGGUGAAAUUCGUAGAUAUUCGGAGGAACACCAGUGGCGAAGGCGGCUCACUGGUCCAUUACUGACGCUGAGGUGCGAAAGCGUGGGGAAGCAAACAGGAUUAGAUACCCUGGAAGUCCACGCCGUAAACGAUGAAUGUUAGCCGUCGGCAUGCAUGCAUGUCGGUGGCGCAGCUAACGCAUUAAACAUUCCGCCUGGGGAG